GACGAACGCUGGCGGCGUGCUUAACACAUGCAAGUCGAACGGAAAGGCCCUGCUUUUGUGGGGUGCUCGAGUGGCGAACGGGUGAGUAACACGUGAGUAACCUGCCCUUGACUUUGGGAUAACUUCAGGAAACUGGGGCUAAUACCGGAUAGGAGCUCCUGCUGCAUGGUGGGGGUUGGAAAGUUUCGGCGGUUGGGGAUGGACUCGCGGCUUAUCAGCUUGUUGGUGGGGUAGUGGCUUACCAAGGCUUUGACGGGUAGCCGGCCUGGGAGGGUGACCGGCCACAUUGGGACUGAGGUACGGCCCAGACUCCUACGGGAGGCAGCAGUGGGGAAUAUUGCACAAUGGGCGGAAGCCUGAUGCAGCAACGCCGCGGGCGGGAUGACGGCCUUCGGGUUGUAAACCGCUUUCGCCUGUGACGAAGCGUGAGUGACGGUAAUGGGUAAAGAAGCACCGGCUAACUACGUG
rnacentral:rRNA from 1 species